AAAUGCGGUCUUAAUUCAAUUAAUCCUCCACGUAUGAUAGCACGUUAGCAAUAUAAACACUACUCAUUCAUGCGAGGACGAAAAAAAAAGGAUAUUUUUAUCUUUCAAAGGAUAAAAAAAUUAACAUGGAAUUAAAAUAAAAAAGAAAUUAAAGAUUUGCGGAAUUAACUGUUUAAUCUAUUUUCUUGAUCCAUGCUUUUGUAAUUCAAAAAUCAAAAUUAAUAAUAGGAAAAAGAAAAUCAGCAAUAGAGCAUUGCUUCUCUCACAUCACAUCUCUCUCUCUCGGUGGUAUAAUAGAGGAAGAGAAUCGGCUUCUUUUUGUUUCCCUCCACAGAUCUCCGAAAUUUCCACUCACCCAACCCUAAUUUCAUCCCUUUCUGUGUAAAUUUCCUAAAAAACCCCAAAUCUCUUUCUCCUUUUUUUUUGGGUUUAGCCCUAUCGCUUGAAGCCAGCGAUCGAAAUAUAUCAGCCGAUGAUUCUAGAACCUUCAUGAAUCUUCACCAAUUUACAUCCCUUAAUGGACGAACGUAAUCCCUACGAUGCCUGAGCUGCGUAGCCACGCUCGCAGAAAUCGGGCCUCCAUCAAACCUAACCCGAAUCCAAACCCGAUUGAUGUUCUCCCCCAACCCAAUAUCAACAACAACGAGAAGAACAAGAAGUUAACUACUUGCACUCGUAAAAGGCGAACCGCACAGAACAGGAAACCGAAGGACGCGAUCGUUGCUGCUAUUGAUGAUAACAAGUUUGACAACAACGAUAACAAACACAAUAAUAUCGUGAGCGGUGCUGGUUUCGAAGCGACCCCGUUUGGAAGAAAGGACGACGAGGAUAUUAAAGCGCUUAGGGUUUUGAGAGAAGAGGUUGCCGAGAAGAUGGACGAGUACGAUAGCGGCGGCCGUAGCGGCGAUAAAGGCCCUGCAGCCGAAGAUGAAGGAAGCACAGCCCCACUUCCCGAAAAGGUUCAGGUAGGCGGCUCCCCGAUGUAUAGAAUAGAAAGAAAACUGGGGAAAGGAGGCUUUGGACAAGUGUAUGUUGGUCGACGAAUUGGUGCUACUGGUCCAGGAGCUGUAGAGGUAGCUUUAAAAUUUGAGCAUAGAAGCAGCAAAGGAUGUAAUUAUGGGCCACCAUAUGAGUGGCAAGUUUACAAUGCACUUGGUGGUAGCCAUGGUGUGCCUCGAGUUCAUUACAAGGGCCGGCAAGGUGACUACUAUGUUAUGGUUAUGGAUAUGCUUGGACCUAGCUUAUGGGAUGUUUGGAAUAACAACUCUCACACGAUGUCCAUUGAAAUGGUUGCAUGUAUUGCCAUUGAGGCCAUCUCAAUCUUAGAGAAGAUGCACUCCAGAGGAUAUGUGCAUGGGGAUGUGAAACCUGAGAAUUUCUUGCUUGGUCCUCCGGGGACUUUAGAUGAGAAAAAACUUUUUCUUGUUGACCUAGGAUUAGCAACCAGGUGGCGAGAUAGUUCAAGUGGUCAACAUGUUGAGUAUGAUCAACGUCCAGAUGUUUUCAGGGGAACUGUACGUUAUGCUAGUGUGCAUGCUCAUCUUGGUAGAACUGGUAGCAGGAGAGAUGAUCUAGAGUCUCUUGCAUACACACUCAUUUUUCUCCUACGUGGUCGGUUACCUUGGCAAGGAUAUCAGGGUGAAAAUAAAGGCUUUCUUGUUUGUAAGAAGAAGAUGGCCACUUCCCCAGAAACUUUGUGUUGCUUUUGCCCUGCACCUUUCAGACAGUUUGUUGAGUAUGUGGUGAAUUUGAAGUUUGAUGAGGAACCGAAUUAUGCAAAAUAUAUCUCACUUUUUGAUGGGAUCGUUGGUCCGAAUCCAGAUAUUAGGCCAAUAAAUACUGAUGGUGCUCAGAAGCUUAUAUAUCAAGUAGGACAAAAGAGAGGACGGUUAAUGAUGGAUGAGGAAGAGGAUGAACAGCCGAAGAAGAAGGUUCGAAUGGGAAUGCCUGCAACACAAUGGAUUAGUGUGUAUAAUGCUCGUAGGCCUAUGAAGCAAAGAUAUCAUUAUAAUGUGGCAGAUGUCAGGCUUCCCCAACAUAUUGAGAAAGGAAAUGAGGAUGGGUUAUUUAUCAGCAGUGUGGCUUCUUAUUCAAACCUAUGGGCUCUUAUUAUGGAUGCUGGCACUGGCUUCACCGCUCAAGUUUAUGAACUCUCACCAUACUUUCUUCAUAAGGAAUGGAUUAUGGAACAAUGGGAAAAGAAUUACUACAUAAGUGCAAUCGCAGGAGCUAAUAAUGGGAGCUCAUUAGUUGUAAUGUCUAAGGGGACCCAGUAUUUGCAGCAAUCCUACAAAGUUAGCGACUCAUUUCCCUUUAAGUGGAUCAACAAAAAAUGGAGGGAGGGCUUUUAUGUGACUGCCAUGGCCACUGCUGGAAGCAGAUGGGCAAUUGUUAUGUCACGUGGUGCUCCAUUUUCUGACCAGGUUGUAGAAUUAGAUUUUCUCUAUCCUAGUGAAGGUAUUCAUCGGAGGUGGGAUAGUGGCUACCGCAUCACAUCAACUGCUGCAACUUGGGAUCAAGCUGCUUUUGUUCUUAGUGUUCCAAGAAGAAAACCCACAGAUGAAACUCAGGAGACACUUCGAACUUCUGCUUUUCCUAGCACUCAUGUGAAGGAGAAAUGGGCAAAGAAUCUCUAUAUUGCAUCAGUUUGUUAUGGUCGAACUGUUUCGUGAACUGCCAAAGUUUUGUUCAGAUGCCACUCAUUUGAUUGUGCAUUUGUAUGACAAGAGAUGUUUCUACUGCUUCAUUUUAAGGGAACUAAGCUCUUUGGCUGGAUUGAUUGAUCACAGCAUUUGGGAGUUGAUGUAUGCAAAAUUCUACUUUAUUGUCACCAUCAUGUAGCAUCUAUUCAAACACCUGUGCACUGUCAUUCAAUCAAGUCAAAAUCUUUAUGAGCUAAUUUCAGAUCUUUUGUCCCAUUAGAUGCCAGAUGUUCUUACCUUACUUGUAUAGUUUUGAAACCAUAAUUUCUUGGUUGAAGGCAAGUGCACAGGUUAAGUUUUAAUUGUUGAUGGUGUUUGAGGACAUACAACAAUGAUUUUAUGCUGGACUCUAUAUCCUUUGAGUCAUUCAAUCUGUACUAUGUCUAGCCUUGUUUUCUGGACUGGAAGAUCAUAUGAUCUUUCACCCUUUCACUUCUGGAUGUCUGAUUUGACCCUAAAGAAGAGAGGAUGUUACUUAUGUUGUAUAUUUUGAAGCAGCAAUAUGUAAUGGGAUAUCAUUAACUUUUGUGCUGUAGUUGAUGCAUGUAUUCUCAUUUCCCUAAAAGCUAAUCCAGUGCAUGCAGCACAUGGUCUGUUGAAUAUCUUGUGGACAGUUGGAGUCACACAAUCAUAACUGCAAAUGCCUCGUGCUUUUGCUAGACACCCCAAUUUUGCAAAUUAUUUCGGGUUACAGUUUGAUCCUUUAACACUGUCUAAAUGUUGUACUUUGGAGUUUAGACUUUAGAGUGGUGUCAUGUGGUGAUUAUUUGUCAAGGCUCCAAAAUGUGAGCCUAUGAGGCGCUUAUUUAUCAUUAACAGAGGUCAAAAUCUCAAGAAGCAUAAAUGCAGCAGAGUCCCCUUUAUAUGUGCCCCAAAGUUUUUGCUAAGGAACUGCCUUGAGACCAACCAAUAUUUGAUUUGGUACAGCUUCAGGUGAUUCAUCUUUGAAUGUUUGAACUGUCUGUUUUCCCUACCUCUGAAGCGGUAAGCACAUCAUGUCUUUUUUAACGAUUCAUAUUAUUAUCUUUAAUGUGGAGUUCCUGAUAAAUUCUUUGCCAUAUCUGAUUUUGCCUUCUGUGAUUGGGACUGAUGUUAUACAGAAAUACGAGCACCCACCAGCUCUUGGUGACGCUUGGGGCACUACUGCUCUUGUUUUACAUUUUUUAUGGCAUCAAAUAGCUAAGCAACUUUCUCGAUCAUGCUUAAAGUUUAAAGUUAGGCAAUGUGCUGUGCAAGUGUGCUUGUGUUCACUUGCAUGUCCAAGCAUUUGUGAACCGACUGAUAUAAUUGGAUGUUUUGUCUGUGAUGUUCUGCAUUAAUUGUUUUGGCUAUGUAUGUUACAUGGUUGCCCACUGUGCAGGAAAAGAAACCUUAAGCCAAAUUUUUUGAAUUAACUCGUUUAACUGCAUAUGUUUAUGGAGUGAUUUAUUUACACGUUAUAGUGGUGAAUGGUGAAUAUGUGACUAAUCACUUUUCUUUUCAUGGUACCUCUCUCUUUAUCUUCCCCUUGCCUAGUUUAAUUGCUAGGAGGCUCGGAAUUUGCAACUUUCUUCUUGCAGAACCACCUGGAUGCUGAAAUUCAUAUGAGAAUUGUUGAACCCGGCUAAUGAUCCCUCUGCUGUUCCAGGAUAUUAGAAUUUUAAUAUCUUCAACAUGAAUCGCUUGAGAAGGGAACAUUUCUGAUCUAAGAUCGAUGAGCAAUUGAUUUUGUCGCAGUUUGUCCACAAAAGAAUGUAUCGCGACUUGCUAUCUGAGAGACCAAUGCUUUCGUGACAUGCUAUUAUCCUUGACAUUUGGGUGUGGAUUGUAGUUGACAAUAGUCUAGCAGUUAGUUUAUAAUGGGUCAUUCUGAGGUUCUAGGCUGUGACACCUGCUUCCAUACGUCUUGAGUAUAGAUUCUAAAGAAUAUAUGCUUACGUGUGUUGAAAAAACUGCAGGAUUAACUGGCCUGGGCAUUUAUUCAUUGUUAUAGUUCCAUUAAAUGCCAGCAGUGAAGGUUGUUGACUUUGUUCUGUAAGAGCGCUAAAUGGUUGCCAUUGCUCCUGUAAUGUUUGUGACUUUAGAUUUUCUUCAUGCAUCCGUACUACUUGUUGGCAAAUGCAUCCGUAACGUUUUCAAAUCUUGCACAAGUUAUCAAAAAUUUG